rnacentral:lncRNA from 1 species
ACAAGGAAACCUAAGGCUUUGAGGAGUUGGACGGUUGGGUUUGUAGCAGAUUUAGCAUUUGCCGGAGCAUCCCUUCACUCUUCUCUUUUUCUUUUGCAAGUUCAGCUAUAAAUCCAUUCCUUUCUUCCUCUAAUUCAACAACUAGAGUCUGAAACUUUGCAAUCUCAGCAUCCUUUGCCCCAACAUCCUGAACUAAGGCUGUGACCUUUGCUAUUCACA